AAUAAAUUGGUAGGCUUGUAAAUAUUUUGAGAAGGAAUAAAAGAUUUUCAUCGGAUGGUUAAACUUUAUUUCUAAGAAAAACAAUAAACAAUGAUUACAAUUUUGGAACGCAAAGUAUAAAAUAAAAUAAUGUUGGAAAUUACAAGGUUUUUAAUUUAAUGUAUCACAUGGGUAUCAUAAAACUCUAAAUUGACUUUAUACCUGAAUGGCUUAGUGGAGUAUAUCGUUUAAAUUCUUACACUACUUUUGUACAAUACUAUAGGUGUACCAGAAUCUCAUGGCAAACAAAAAUAUUGGAAAAGUGUGUUUUUCAUAUGGCCAUUGUCUAUGGCUUUAUUGUCACCUGUCAAAGUAAAUCAAGAGAUCUGUCAGUCGCUGCAGAAAUUUUGUAAUCUCUUCAUGUCUAUUUAUUAUUUUUGUGAAAAAGACGAAAAAACUCAAGCAAGUCAUAUUGUUUUCAAAGUGUAUUGUAAAAUAAGGCAUAAUCAAAGUCAAUCUUUGAUUUUAAAGCGCGUCGUUGAGUUGACAGUGUAUUUCAUGCAUUGGUGCAGAGGAAUGGUGAAAAUGUUAUGACCAUGUAAAGAAAAUUGAAAAAGAUUUCAUCAAGCAAGUUUGAGUAAUUGAAAUGCUGAAAAAGCGAUUUAUAUUAUAUUAAUACCUCUUUAACUUGAUCAUCUAUUUGAAGAACAAGAAAUGCAAGUGGAGUUCUUAGAAUCGUUUUCUAGUUCUGAAUGAAGUGAUAAGUUAUAAGUAUGAUACUUAAUAAAAUUAUUUACAGUAAUAACGGUUUACUUAUUUUUCAAGACAUGUUCCUAUGUUAAAAACCCAAUGUAUAACAACAUUCUUCAUACAUACACAUACCUAAAAUGUAUAGGUAGGCAUUCGUACUUCAUGUUCAUUAAUAUUAGUCAUAAAUAAAAAUUAAACAGUAUCAAGAUCGUUUAAUCCAAUUUCCCCAGUAUUGCACUCAACAAAGUUUAUUUUCCCCAUUUGCCAUGAGAUUCUGGUACACCUAUAGUUACAUGAAGUCUAAUUUCUGACGCACCUACAUCGAAAAAUUUUGUGAAAAUAAUGUUUUAUGAAUCCCGCCAUACCUAAAAACUUCGACAAGAUGGCUGAAUUUGAAAAGUCGAAAACGCGGGAAUUUUGUACUGGAAAUGACUUUUUGUUUUUUUUUUGUGACUGGCACAGGCGUUUAGACGUCCAUGCCGAGGAGUUUCUUGUCGAAGAUAAACUCGCCGAGCGAUGGGUGGCGUUCCAGCA